rnacentral:pre_miRNA from 1 species
UGUCUCUCGCGAAUCUUUUUGCGGUUUGGGCUUGCUGUUCAUCUAAUAGCCGGCAAGCCCUUACCCCAAAAAGCAUUCGAGGGGGAUG